GUGUCGUCGUGAGGAAGAUUGUUUCCGAGACGCUGACUGAUAGUAUAUUCCAAAUUCAAUUCAAUAAGGAAUUGAGUUGUCGAUCUACAUUUUCAGCCAUUUAAUGCAAUCUGGCAUAUAAUUACACUUGGCCAAAUGUGAUGACGUGGGUCGAAACUGCUGUCCAUUUUGUCGAAAUGUCGGCCAUUGUUAGCUGUACGUCUCAUCUCGUGCAGAAACACUUCAGAGCUAGUAAAGUCGGAGAUGGAGAUCCGUUUUCUCAACUGUUGCAGAAAUUUAGAACACGACAAAGUCUGAGCUUCAUGGCUGAUGAUCAUUGAUGUUGUUUUAUUACAGCCAGCUGGUGAAAGGUGUGAUCAAGUCAUGUUGAGCUGCAGCUGUUGCAUGAAGUUUAUUGUGAGUCUGGUGUUACCCCAAGUGUCACUGUCACUGCAGGAAAACUUCUGGAAUUGAUAAUUUGAUAUUAUUGGUUGAGUUCAUGCUCAGUUUGAGCUGUUUGCGGUGUUGCUGUUUGGUGUACAGUAGUUUUGCAGUCCCUUUCCAGUUGAUAGAUGCUCUGAAAUGGAGCUUGUGCAGACUUGCAGUUCAACAUCACACUUAAAUGUGUCAUUUGUCUACAUUGGUGUCCAUGCAGUAUAUGCAGUGUUGAACAGUUGGGUAAAAUAGUCUAUGCUGCCUGAUGGCUGUCGCCUGUCGGUCUUAUUUUAUCGGUUGCAUUUUGUCGAUAUGUCGUCUCUUGCUACCUCUGCCGGCGUUGAGUUGAAACGUUAGCCGCCGUUCCUUAGACUUGAUUCACCGGUGAAACUAAGAAGACGUAGCUGAAAUUCAAGAUUGAUCAAUAAAUUAUGUAGAUAAAUUACAAGUGCAUAAUCUGGGUUCCCUUCUUCAGUGGCCCCGUUCCCCUAACUAACCAAUAACCAACGCCCGCCAGUGGUCACUCACUCGCUGCGACAACCAGGAGUAAGGGAGAUGUCUGGUCGAACGGGGACUUGCUAGGCGCAUGAUUCGAUUAAAUCUGUUGGAGGGUCAUGACUCUAAGCCGGAAGCCUACUAUGAUGCAUUGCUCUCAUGAUAACUGCUCCUCGGCUCUCUUCGCUCUUUUUCCGGUUCCUCUUAACCAUGGCCGGGUAAUCUCCCUGGUCGAGUCAGUCGGGCAGUGUCUUCCCCUGCUAGACUGGCUGCAGUUUGAAUCGGACGGUCUGUUAAAAUAAGAAUUUAAAUCUAGAACAACGCUUCCUUUGAGCGGCCCGGACAAUCCUGAACCCUUUAGGGUUGCUAUUCCAUCGAGGCUUAAACAAGGAUGACGCGGAGGUGUUGCCCAUUGAGGGGUUUUGGUGACAAGGAGUCACUGAACGAAACGCCAAACCAAAUGAAGAAAAAAUAUUAAAAAAGGUGCAAGGGUCAUGUGUUUCUAACUUAGAUAAGGUUGCAGUAGAAUAUUUCAAAAAAGCCAAUUGUUGUUCAAACGGUUCGAAAUUGAAGAUUUAUUCAUUCACUGAAUAAAUGAGUCAAAUGACUCAAAUGUCAAUUGGUAUAAAGUGACUAAAACCCAUCCCCAGGAACGUCAUCCAGCAGAAAGAAAAAGGCCAUUUCUAUGGCCUUCAGAUUCGAAGAUCGCGGAGAUAAUUACGUAAAACUGGCAUGGGGUGGCGUAGAGGUUGGGUGAGAAUGACACGUUUUUCAACAUUAUCAAGCAGGUAGAAUAGCCGCAAGGGUAAGCUAUUUGGU